rnacentral:lncRNA from 1 species
GGCACAGAGGAAAAUGGACAUAAGGUAGCGGUAACAGGCUGGCGACUGUGGCUUUUACACAUUGCUUCACACAACCCUGUCCAGGAGUUUUACACACUCACUAAACAAACAGAAGACACCAUCCAAUUCACUGGAGCCCCGUUGGAUAAAUACGGAAAGAAUGUGGGAGCUAUGUCAUGAACCACAAUGGUUUUGUGUUCUGUGUAAUUUGAAGACGAGAUUCCUUUGCUGUGUGUCACCUCCCAUAUUACCACUGUCGCCCAACAUUUCAUAACCAUCAACUCUUUGCCAGUGCCCACAUGCAAAGAUGGGUUUGUAUUAAAAAAUAAAUGAGAACAGCACAUUCUGAUGUGGUGUAGUAUAUCAGCAUUUUCCAUGAAACCUCGUCUCCGGCCUUCCCCUUUUAGGAAACAAAGGACCCGUGACAGAGCCUACUUAUCCCGUUACAGCUCCUGGUGAGAAGGGCGAAGCCAUGUCAGAAAUAAUAGAAAAGGCUUUUUCCUUUGAAAUAUCUAAACGUUCAAAGAUGGGAACAGCCGCAGGGGGGAGAAUACUGUGCUAUGCAAGUUGAUCUGAUUUUGUGGACCAUCCAUUUCCAAUUGGGAAGCUCACUUACUUUCAACUUGAAGCAUCAGAAAACCAGACUUACAGCAGCUUCAGCCUAUAGGGGUUUAUUUUUCUCAUGUAACAAGAAGAACAGAAGUGGACAGAGGCCGAGUUCUCAAGGACUCAGUUUCUUUCUGUCCCACCAACCUUACCAUGUUGGAUUGUCAUCUUUGUGCUUGUUGCCUCAUGAUGGCAAGAUGGCUGCAGCACCUCUGGGACUCACGACUGAUUUUUAAGACUACAGAGCCUAAGUCAAAGCUUGUUCUUGGACCCAGGAAAUAUGUCAAAUCCUUCCAGUGAAUGGUGCCUUUCAGGAUUGGAGACUACUCCCCCAGUUGCUGAUGGUGUGGUCAGCCCUCAGUUUUCAGUCCUCUUUGGGAAUUGCCUUGGAUGAAGAAAGUCACCUCACCCAAGAUCACUCCAACUCCUGGGACCCACAUCCAAUGAUUGGCCAAUAUGGGGACUCAAAGGCCUGGUCCCCCUUCCCCAACUUGAGACUACUCUGAAGGAUCACCCAGCUUCAGAGCUUCCCAUGGUUGAGACUUUUAGACUUCACUGUGGUCCAACCAAUCUCUUCCUAUACACGGUCCUGACUCCUUCACUUCCCUCCCAGCACUUCUUCUGUGUUAAUAUCAAACUUCUGUGCUAAUAACAAACUUCUUCCGUGCUAA